rnacentral:rRNA from 1 species
GAGUUUGAUCAUGGCUCAGAUUGAACGCUGGCGGCACGCCUAACACAUGCAAGUCGAACGCAGUAGCAAUACUGAGUGGCAAACGGGUGAGUAUAAUGUGGGAAUCUGCCUUUUGGUUCGGAAUAACACGAGGAAACUUGUGCUAAUACCGGAUAAGCCCUUACGGGGAAAGUUUUAAUGCCAAAAGAUGAGCCCGCACUUGAUUAGCUAGUUGGUAAGGUAAUGGCUUACCAAGGCAACGAUCAAUAGCUGUUCUUAGAGGAAGACCAGCCACAUUGGGACUGAGACACGGCCCAAACUCCUACGGGAGGCAGCAGUGGGGAAUCUUGCACAAUGGGGGAAACCCUGAUGCAGCGAUGCCGCGUGAGUGAAGAAGGCCCUUGGGUUGUAAAACUCUUUCGUCGGGGAAGAAAAUGACUGUACCCGAAUAAGAAGCACCGGCUAACUACGUGCCAGCAGCCGCGGUAAUACGUAGGGUGCGAGCGUUAAUCGGAAUUACUGGGCGUAAAGCGUGCGCAGGCGGCUUUGUAAGUCAGAUGUGAAAUCCCCGAGCUCAACUUGGGAACUGCGUUUGAAACUACAAGGCUAGAAUAUGUCAGAGGGGGGUAGAAUUCCACGUGUAGCAGUGAAAUGCGUAGAGAUGUGGAGGAAUACCAAUGGCGAAGGCAGCCCCCUGGGAUAAUAUUGACGCUCAUGCACGAAAGCGUGGGGAGCAAACAGGAUUAGAUACCCUGGUAGUCCACGCCCUAAACGAUGUCUACUAGUUGUUGGUGGAGUAAAAUCCAUGAGUAACGCAGCUAACGCGUGAAGUAGACCGCCUGGGGAGUACGGUCGCAAGAUUAAAACUCAAAUGAAUUGACGGGGACCCGCACAAGCGGUGGAUUAUGUGGAUUAAUUCGAUGCAACGCGAAAAACCUUACCUGGCCUUGACAUGUAACGAACUUUCCAGAGAUGGAUUGGUGCUCGAAAGAGAGCGUUAACACAGGUGCUGCAUGGCUGUCGUCAGCUCGUGUCGUGAGAUGUUGGGUUAAGUCCCGCAACGAGCGCAACCCUCACUUUUAGUUGCCAUCAUUAAGUUGGGCACUCUGAAAGAACUGCCAGUGAUAAGCUGGAGGAAGGUGGGGAUGACGUCAAGUCCUCAUGGCCCUUACGUGUUGGGCUACACACGUGCUACAAUGGUAUCUACAACAGGAAGCAAGACUGCGAAGUUAAGCAAAUCCCUAAAAGAUACCUCAGUUCGGAUUGCACUCUGCAACUCGAGUGCAUGAAGCUGGAAUUACUAGUAAUCGUGGAUCAGCGUGCCACGGUGAAUGCGUUCCCGGGUCUUGUACACACCGCCCGUCACACCAUGGGAGUUGGUUCUACCUUAAGGCAAGGUUUCAAACCCUUGACCACGGUAUAGUCAGCGACUGGGGUGAAGUCAUAACAAGGUAGCCGUA